CUUUCAACAUCACUGCACAUGGACCCUGACUGAUUGCUAAGUUCUAACUUUACUAACCUUUACUUUCCUCCGUUAUUAAGAUAUUGGCAUGUUUCAGGUUUCUUUUUUUAGCUCAAAAUGUUUAUUUUUGUUCUGUCAUGCUGAGUGUUGUACCUAAAAUAAGAAUUUUCUCCCACGACGGUGUGCUAUAAAUAUCACCCGCAAGUUUAUCUGAAACGGAAAACAGCCGUUUAGAAUAAUUGCUCAGAUCCUGCCUGUAUACUUCAGUAAUAAACAGGUCUUUCUGAACACAGCCAUGCGGGUGACUCCUUUACACUCGCAGCUUGUUCGGGAACAUAAACAGCGCUUGUUGUUGGCAUUCUCAGCAGCUCAUGCCCUGGGGCUUGCUUCUUGUUGUUGUUUUUUUCCUCAUGUUCUAUUACAGCAGCCGCAUUCUGAACAUUUGAAUCCAGAGUGAGAGAAACAAUAUUAGUCAGAUGAUAAAAAUUCCAGAUCGUAUUUGUGCCAAAAAAAAUGUGCCGCUGUUGCAUAAAAGUGGAAUGCAUGGCACUUGGGCAUCUACUGUCUGAUGAAGAGGGAAAAAAAUACAAAACAUCAUUUGUUUGGAAUUGUAUUGUUUAACUUUUCUUCUGGCCUGGCCUUAUCUGUCCCGAAAUCCCUCGUUCCCCGCCGUCCCGCAGCAGGCGGAAGGAAGUGCUGGAGCUGGCCUUGCGAAGCCCAGCCAAACUGUCUUCUAUUAAUCAUAACAUUGGGAGGCACCGGGGUAAUGGGUCACAUCAGCGAGGAGACACUGCGCUCUUCUUAGAGGCUGACCAUAAAACAUGACAGGAACGAAACUUCAAGAUUGUGUAUUAUAGGACCACUGUAACUCACACUUUUUGAGAAAGUUUGCCUUAUUAGGAACAUCGAAGAAAGAAAGAGAAAGAAAAUUUACAACACUGAUGUUCUUUUUCUUGACAUUUUUGUGGCUGAACUCUAGCUUUAAUUAAUUAAUGCAGCUUGGAGAUGGAUUCUGAUUGGUCAGCAUGAUAAUCUUUGCAUUGCUUGCUUGAACUUGUACAGUGCAAGAUAUUGUAACUAAAAUAUCCUUAAAAAAAUACAAGGUAAUGUUAUAUUUCAUGUCACAUUUCUGGAAGGAGUCUCCGGUGUCAGCACUCAGAUAUGUGACUUCACACUUACUCAAUAACACGAGGGAAAGUCAUGUUUUCUGGAGCCUUUUAGCUCGAUAAAAACGGCGGACAUAAAAUACUACAAAUACACGACUUCCUCAACGAAUUGAUGGCGUUUUGACGAUAUCUGAUAGACAGACGAUCUGCUGUGCUGGAGGAUAUGAUGUUACCAAACAGGAUAAAUUAGGGAGGGUUUCCCCAGUGGAAGAAACAGAGACUUCUGUUUGAGUGAAUCCCAGAUGGUGUGGUGGACUACACGACUAGGCCAGACUUACUUAUUUAUUUAUUUAUUUAUUUUUUAUGACAUGCUGUCUUCAAUUUAGUUUUUUUAUGUAAAAUGCUGGAGUACAGAAGACAGUAAACACGUACUGAUAUGCGAUUACAGGAAACGAAUCGACUCAAGGUUGUAACAGUAACUCUGCAUCAUCUCAAAAACACGCCACUUAUUAGUUUUCCUGUAACCACACACACACAGACACCGUCCCCCCACCACCACCACACACACACACACAAGUUUUCUUUCAUAGAUGACGCUUCAGGUCAGUCACUGAGCUCCAAGGUCAAAGAGUACACUUUACACUGAUUUAAUCUCAUGCUCAGUGUCUGUCACUUCUGUUCAUGCAUGUCGGUGCUAUUUCUGUGGACUACUGAUUGGAAGGUUGUUGGUUCAUAUCCCAGGACCACCAAGCUGCAACUGCUGGUGCUUUGAGAAAGGCUCUUAACUUUUAUCUGCUCAGCUGUAUAAAUGAGAUAAAUGUAAGUGGCCUUGGAUAAGGGUCUCUGUUGAGUGUUGUAAAUGUUGGUGCUUUGGUGAAGAGAGUAAUCGCAUGCUUGACUCUAAUAAACUUCUUCCCCUUAGCUGACUCAGGUGUGUUCGAUCAACACCAGACCUCAACUCAGCAAGAAAGAAGCUCUGAAGAAACACAGCUUGCGAAAUGCCGGAAUGAGAAAAACAAAAAAAACAACUUUUCUAUUUUUAGACUGCUGAGCAAAAAAGACAAGACUUUACAAGAAAGACCAAAACGUAGGCAAUUGGAAACAGUGAGACAAUCCAAGUGCAAAAAAAUAUUCCCCACAAGCUAGUCACUCUGCGUUUGUGAGGAGAUGAAAAACUGUUUCUGUUACAAGAAUAUAUGAGGCAGACGUCCUAAUUACAGCCCAGUUUCAGGAGACAGCUGACUUGCACAACAUGAGCAAGUCAUGAGAUUUUAGUACAUUUACUGAAACAAAGCAUCUUUUAGACCAACAUGAUUUAGGACUAGUCUCAAGCUGCUCUCAUCAUGGACUAAAAGGUUAUGCUUUACAAUCAUCAACUCUUAGAAUGAAUAAAAAACAUAUCUUAGUUUUGUAGUGGUACAGGAAUAAAACACUUUGUACAAACAAUGCGCGGUGGAUUUACGCCUGAAUUCCUGUUUCGCAUGCAGUGAAAUGCUGAUUCCUUGCAUCGCCAUGGCAACACUGGUUGAGAUCUCAAAACUUAGAUGUAAUCAUGCAUAUGUUAACAUCAUCCUGAUCUAAUUUGGUGUGAAUCAGAUGAAUAAAGUCCAUAGAUGCAAUUGUGGAGAUCUUAGUAACACACACCUACAAUUUUUUUUCUACAAUGUUGGUGAAACUGUAUGCCCACAAUUCUGUCACAGUGAUAUCACAAAAAUGUCACAGUGCUUUGUUGAUCCCUGGACCACACCCAGUUACUGUAAAGGGAAAUGGAGGUUAUACAAUAGUUCGCAUCCAGUCCUACUCGCCUCUUCUAGGAGCAGUAGACCUUUCUGCUGUGAUCUGACCAGUGAACUGAUCUGCUAAGACACAGAAUGAGAUGUUGACCAGCAUUUCAGACAGAAACUAAUUUUCCUACUUGCUUAUUACUUGAACUGAUCAGUAAAAAAGUUUACAAUAAAACAUUUCCGACAGCUGUAUACUUGCAUUAGUUUUUUUUUCCCCAUAAAAUGUCUAGUGUGCUGCUUCAGACACUACAAAUACAUAUAUGAAGAGAAGAAGUAGUAUUUUGUGUACUAUAUAACAGUUGUUUGUUUUUUCUAUGCAGCAAUUAUUCAUUCAACCUGAUCAGGGUCAAAGCAGUGGUUAAAUAUUGAGAAACUCUGUAGUUGAGGCUAGUUAUGAAUUGGAGUGUCA